rnacentral:rRNA from 1 species
UGGGGAAUAUUGGACAAUGGGCGCAAGCCUGAUCCAGCCAUGCCGCGUGAGUGAUGAAGGCCCUAGGGUUGUAAAGCUCUUUCACCGGUGAAGAUAAUGACGGUAACCGGAGAAGAAGCCCCGGCUAACUUCGUGCCAGCAGCCGCGGUAAUACGAAGGGGGCUAGCGUUGUUCGGAUUUACUGGGCGUAAAGCGCACGUAGGCGGACUUUUAAGUCAGGGGUGAAAUCCCGGGGCUCAACCCCGGAACUGCCUUUGAUACUGGAAGUCUUGAGUAUGGUAGAGGUGAGUGGAAUUCCGAGUGUAGGGGUGAAAUUCGUAGAUAUUCGGAGGAACACCAGUGGCGAAGGCGGCUCACUGGACCAUUACUGACGCUGAGGUGCGAAAGCGUGGGGAGCAAACAGG